rnacentral:rRNA from 1 species
UACGGAGGUUGCAAGCGUUGUUCGGAUUUACUGGGCGUAAAGGGAGCGCAGGCGGCUUGGUCAGUCUAAAGUGAAAGUCCGGGGCUCAACCCUGGAAGUGCUUUGGAUACUGCCAAGCUUGAGUAUGUGAGAGGUGAGCGGAAUUUCAGGUGUAGCGGUGAAAUGCGUAGAUAUCUGAAGGAACAUCGGUGGCGAAAGCGGCUCACUGGCACAAGACUGACGCUGAGGCUCGAAAGCGUGGGGAGCGAAC